AGAUGCGAGAGUAGAGCACAUCAAUAAGCGGAGGAAAAGAAACUAACAAGGAUUCCCUUAGUAACGGCGAGUGAAGCGGGAAGAGCUCAAAUUUGAAAUCUUCAAGGUUCUACCUUGACGAAUUGUAGUUUAAAGAAGUGUUUUCUGUUAGAUGAGUAGCAAAAGUUCCUUGGAAUGGGACAUCAUAGAGGGUGAGAAUCCCGUAUUUGGUUAUUCAUUCUAGCUUUGUGAUACACUUUCAAAGAGUCGGAUUGUUUGGGAAUGCAGUCCAAAAUGGGUGGUAAAUUUCAUCUAAAGCUAAAUAUUGGCGAGAGACCGAUAGCGAACAAGUACCGUGAGGGAAAGAUGAAAAGAACUUUGAAAAGAGAGUUAAACAGUACGUGAAAUUGUCAAAAGGGAAGCGUUUGACACCAGUGUUGUUUUUCCGAAAAUCAAUUACGAAUGGCUUGAUUUUGUGUUGUAUUGACCUUAUCAGCUUUCUGCACUUUUUUCGAGUCUUUCUUAAUGCACUUUUCGGUUAACAAGUCAACAUCAAUUUCUUUUGUUGUAAAAGAGUAUUCGGAAGGUGGCUUUCUUUUCGGAGAAAGUGUUUAUAGCCCUAUACUUCUACAAUCGGAGAGAUUGAGGUCUGCAGCGUAGAUCCUUCGGGGUUAGAUACACUUGUGCUAAGUUGUAGCUUUUCAUAGACAACUUGUUGACUAUGUUUAGUCAUGCGGCUUACUCGCUUAUGCUAUUUUACCUACGCUUAGGAUGUUGAGCGCAUGUCUCUCUCU
rnacentral:rRNA from 1 species